rnacentral:lncRNA from 1 species
UUUAUGUGUGCUUUUAUAUCACAUUACAGCAAUCAUUAAACUUUUAUGUAUGAGAGGAAAACAAAGAGUGCAACAGGUCGAGGUUCAGUAAACCCGGAACCACACGAGCUUCAAAAAACAACCAAAUCAAAAGCAACACACCAGUUAUGGAGAGGACUCAAAAAUAUCAACGAAAUACUGAAUACUAGGAAUUUCAAGUCUUAGAUGAGCCAUCACACAAGGGUUGCGUACAGUUGUGAACUGAAGAAGAGAAGCUACAUGGAAAGUUUCCUGACUGGUAUUGUGAACUUUAUGGUGAAUAAAUGAGGAGGUCCUUAUAUGGCA